AAUGCUGACAUAAGUAACGAUAAAGCGGGUGAAAAGCCCGCUCGCCGGAAGACCAAGGGUUCCUGUCCAACGUUAAUCGGGGCAGGGUGAGUCGACCCCUAAGGCGAGGCCGAAAGGCGUAGUCGAUGGGAAACGGGUUAAUAUUCCCGUACUUGGUGUUACUGCGAAGGGGGGACGGAGAAGGCUAUGUUGGCCGGGCGACGGUUGUCCCGGUUUAAGCGUGUAGGCUGGUUUUCCAGGCAAAUCCGGAAAAUCAAGGCUGAGGCGUGACGACGAGGCACUACGGUGCUGAAGCAACAAAUGCCCUGCUUCCAGGAAAAGCCUCUAAGCAUCAGGUAACAUCAAAUCGUACCCCAAACCGACACAGGUGGUCAGGUAGAGAAUACCAAGGCGCUUGAGAGAACUCGGGUGAAGGAACUAGGCAAAAUGGUGCCGUAA
rnacentral:rRNA from 1 species